rnacentral:rRNA from 1 species
UACGUAGGUGGCAAGCGUUAAUCGGAAUUACUGGGCGUAAAGCGUGCGCAGGCGGUUGUGCAAGACAGAUGUGAAAUCCCCGGGCUCAACCUGGGAAUUGCAUUUGUGACUGCACGGCUAGAGUGUGUCAGAGGGGGGUAGAAUUCCACGUGUAGCAGUGAAAUGCGUAGAGAUGUGGAGGAAUACCGAUGGCGAAGGCAGCCCCCUGGGAUAACACUGACGCUCAUGCACGAAAGCGUGGGGAGCAAACAGG